UACGGAGGAUGCGAGCGUUAUCCGGAUUUAUUGGGUUUAAAGGGUGCGUAGGCGGGCUUUUAAGUCAGCGGUAAAAAUUCGGGGCUCAACCCCGUCCAGCCGUUGGAACUGGGGGUCUUGAGUGGGCGAGAAGAAGGCGGAAUGCGUGGUGUAGCGGUGAAAUGCAUAGAUAUCACGCAGAACCCCGAUUGCGAAGGCAGCCUUCCGGCGCCCUACUGACGCUGAGGCACGAAAGUGCGGGGAUCGAACAGG
rnacentral:rRNA from 1 species